UACGUAGGGGGGCAAGCGUUGUCCGGAAUCAUUGGGCGUAAAGCGCGCGUAGGCGGCUAGAUCAGUCUGCUGUAAAAAGUCAAAGGCUCAACCUUUGAAAGCCGGUGGAUACUGUCUAGCUAGAGUCCGGAAGAGGCGAGUGGAAUUCCUGGUGUAGCGGUGGAAUGCGCAGAUAUCAGGAGGAACACCAACGGCGAAGGCAGCUCGCUGGGACGGUACUGACGCUAAGGCGCGAAAGCGUGGGGAGCGAACAGG
rnacentral:rRNA from 1 species